rnacentral:rRNA from 1 species
UACGUAGGGCGCAAGCGUUAUCCGGAAUUAUUGGGCGUAAAGAGCUCGUAGGCGGUUUGUCGCGUCUGCCGUGAAAGUCCGGGGCUCAACUCCGGAUCUGCGGUGGGUACGGGCAGACUAGAGUGAUGUAGGGGAGACUGGAAUUCCUGGUGUAGCGGUGAAAUGCGCAGAUAUCAGGAGGAACACCGGUGGCGAAGGCGGGCAUCCUGGGACCAAUUACUGCACUGAGAAGCGAAAGCCGGGAGGCAAACGGG